CGGCACGCCACAACUGACAUUGACAAGUUAUUAAAAUUAAGGUUAACUUAAUUGUUUACAAAUUUCUAUCAAUGUAGUUAAAACCUUGUUAAUUCACACAUUGCUAAAAUGAAUUACAAUUGUGAUGUGGCAUUUCCGGCAGUCAAAUAAUUUGUUGAUAUUUUGUGUGUUGAUCUUGUCGGCGGGUUUCAUGUUACAAUUCAAAGUAUUAUACAACAACCACCAAAAGCAUUUGAGGGUACAGGAAAUUCAAGAGAGAAUGACUGAAAUUGCAGAUACUAUGCAAACUGUAGAAACGGUUGCAAACACCACUUCGGUUCUGAUUAGUAAAUUAGAAAAAACUGUGAAAAAUAGGAAUCUUAGAGGGAGAUUAAAAUUAAAAACUAGGUGAUAAGACACCCUCAUUUUCUAAAAAACUAACACAAAAGCUUCUCAAGUCAAUUCACUCCUAUUAUUGCUUUUGUUUUUAAUUUGUUGUCUCACUGGAAAAGUUUAGCUGUUGUUGACUAAUUUAUUAAAAUGUUGCGUGUGUUUAGUUAACUAGGAAGAAAUAAAUUGCCAUAUUUACAUAACGUAGAUGUUUUAUAUAAGUAUUUGUUUAGAAUAUGUGACAAUAAAUAUAUUUUUGUGUUUA